GGUGGCCUAAUGGUUCGAGUGUCCGCCUCAGAUGCGAGAGGUCGCGGGUUCGAACCCCGGCAGAAUCA